GUUUGAUCCUGGCUCAGAGCGAACGUUAGCGGCGCGCCUAACACAUGCAAGUCGCACGAGAAAGGGGCAACCCCGGUACAGUGGCGCACGGGUGAGUAACACGUGGGUGAUCUGCCCAGAAGAAGGGGAUAACCUCUCGAAAGGGGGGCUAAUACCGCAUAGGACCACCGGGGCUUUGGCUCUGUGGUGAAAGGGGGCCUCUGUUUACAAGCUCCUGCUUCUGGAUGAGCCCGCGUCCCAUCAGCUAGUUGGUAGGGUAAUGGCCUACCAAGGCUACGACGGGUAGCUGGUCUAAGAGGAUGGCCAGCCACACUGGAACUGAGACACGGUCCAGACUCCUACGGGAGGCAGCAGUGGGGAAUCUUGCGCAAUGGGCGAAAGCCUGACGCAGCGACGCCGCGUGGGUGACGAAGGCC
rnacentral:rRNA from 1 species